GUGUCAGCAGCCGCGGUAAUACGGAGGCCCCUAGCGUUGUUCGGAAUCACUGGGCUUAAAGCGCGUGUAGGCGGAACGGUAAGUGCCUUGUGAAAUCCCCCGUCUCAACCGGGUGAAUUGCUUGGCAUACUGUCGUUCUUGAGGCAGGUAGGGGUCGCUGGAACGUUAGGUGGAGCGGUGAAAUGCGUAGAUAUCUAACGGAACGCCUGUGGCGAAAGCGGGUGACUGGGCCUGUCCUGACGCUGAGACGCGAAAGCGUAGGGAGCAAACGGGAUUAGAUACCCGCGUAGUCC
rnacentral:rRNA from 1 species